ensembl:lncRNA
CCCCAGCCCCUCCUUAAAGUUCAUUUAAAAAAAUGAGAAAAAAAGAAAAAUCACGUCCAACUUUCUCCACCUUCAUAACGUAAACAAUUCAAUAAAAAAUUCAUUUAGUUUAGUGUUCAUUUUCCCAACAAAACACUGUUUACAUCAUAGGUCGCAUAAUGGUGGAAAAACGUCCGCCAUGAUUUGGGUUUCUCUGACUUUAACAUGGGGUGUACUUUUUAUAUCCACUGUAUGUUAUAAACGUGUAAACGUCCUUUUUUGUGCCUCAUUAGUCAAGAGACUGAAUCUACUGCAUUUGUCAUUUAUUUUAUAAUUGAUUGGAGUGAUUUUAAGGUACAAACCAGAAAAGGUUUUUGUGUGGUGGAUGUAAUAAUGGUGGAUGUAAUAAUGCGCUUCUUGUAAGUCGCUUUGGAUAAAAAGCGUCAGCUAAAUGACACGUGACGUAACGUAGCGGCGCCCCGGUCACGUGACAUGCGUCAGACGCGAGGCGCGGACCCCUCGAGCGUCCUGCAGGAGGAGGGACGGGGGGCGGGGAGCUUGGAGCUCUCAUCCCCUUAUUGGAUGUAGUCGUGAUGCUCAGUGGUAGAAACCGUAUGUUCCUACAGUCCAGGAGCCAAACACAACAAGCCCUGUUGAUGAAACUCUUUCUGCCUUUGCAGCACAGAGAAGAAAUCACUUCCUGCCAGACGACUGUGGUCCUCAAGUCUUCUCCACCCGCUGGUUUAUUCCUGUUUGUGCAUUAAAUACACAGCGUGUCUUUUUGUCUCGUGUUAUCUCUGAAUGCUACAUAUGAACCGUUGUCCCCGCUGUGCUUCACAGCCGCCCCCCCCAGCUGAAGCGCCUCCACAUGACGGUGUCUCGGCCGGAUGUGGGGCAGGAAGCCUCAAACCUUCAGCCCCAGAGAACCAAGUCCUCGGAGGCGGUCUGUGCGGACCAGGACCAGCCGCGGCUCUUUGGCCGCACCAAGCGGGCCUUCAGAGGGCGCGGCGGCGCUGAGACGCAGAGCCUGGCCUCGGGGCUGCGGCGCCACCUCCCAAACCUCAGCGACGCUCCGGGGAGGAAGACCUCUCCCCCGCAGGGCGGAGACGCAGCGCCGGGACCCACCACCCGAGGCCCAGAGGCCGCCUGCGGAGCGGCAGAAAGGAACCCUGGGAAGUGGUCUCGCGUCUCGGGACUGACAGCUGAUUUCAUUCAUGCUCUGUACUCAUCUGAACGAUGUCACAUGAACUGUUGUUCUCAAUAUCUAAUCUCUCUGUGGUUAAACACUGGAUUACUGAAUAUCAAAGCCCCCCAUCAGAAGACCUGCGUAAAGGAAGGAGGCUCUGAGGAGACUCGCGGAUUCAGUCCUCUAACUCCUUCUCCUCCUUCAACCUGGUUAGACCCCACAACCCCACCCAUGCUAACGGGGGUCGAGCUUCAGGCGGGUUUCCCUUCGUCUCUGCAGAGGAAGUGAACCGUCUUUGCAGAAGCGGCUUGGUGACGAUUGACAGGAGAAGGGAGGGACAUCGCUGCGGAGACAUGCUGAUUAUUUCAGGUUCCACUGUUGAGGUCAAACAGUCUCUCACGAGGGAGACGAACAGAAGCUGAUGGAAACCGACCACAUUGCUCUGUACCCGACAAAGCAAACCGUAGAGUGGCACAACAACCACAACAACCCCCCCUGCUGAGCGUGUGAGGGGACUCGGCCUUCCUGGAAGCUCAGCCGUGAGCUGCUGCCUGCGGUCCCCCCCCCCCACUCAAGUGUUGCUGGCAGCUCUUCAUCCGACGCCGUCUUCUCCGUCCUGCCCUUCAAUGAGGCAGCAGCAUCUCCCCCCCGAGGAAACCGCUGCCUCACUGAUGAUGACGACGAUUCAAUGAUAAUGAUCAUGAAGCAGCACACCUGGGCUUCGGGGGGGGGGGGGGGGCCCCGGGUUUUGUUAAUAUUUCUCUACUUGGGAAGGGUGAAAAUGUCUCUUUUGUGACGAUGACAUGUCUGCGGUUAGUG